rnacentral:rRNA from 1 species
GACGAACGCUGGCGGCGUGCUUAAUACAUGCAAGUCAACUUGACUUUAGAUAGCAAUAUCGAAAAGUAGGGUGGCGCACGGGUGCGUAACGCGUAGGUAAUCUGCCCUGAGGUCUGACAUAACCCGUCGAAAGGCGGGCUAACAUCAGAUGAUAUAUAGUCACGACAUCGUGGAAAUAUCAAAUCUUCGGAGCCUUGGGAUGAGCCUGCGUCUGAUUAGGGUAGUUGGCGGAGUAAUAGCCCACCAAGCCUACGAUCAGUAGCUGGUCUGAGAGGAUGAUCAGCCACACUGGAACUGAGACACGGUCCAGACUCCUACGGGAGGCAGCAGUAAGGAAUAUUGCUCAAUGGGGGAAACCCUGAAGCAGCAACGCCGCGUGAAGGAUGAAAUACUUUGUAUGUAAACUUCUGUAAGAUGGG